GAUGAACGCUAGCUACAGGCUUAACACAUGCAAGUCGAGGGGAAACGAUAUUGGAAGCUUGCUUCCGAUAGGCGUCGACCGGCGCACGGGUGAGUAACGCGUAUCCAACCUGCCCACCACUUGGGGAUAACCUUGCGAAAGUAAGACUAAUACCCAAUGAUAUCUCUAGAAGACAUCUGAAAGGGAUUAAAGAUUUAUCGGUGAUGGAUGGGGAUGCGUCUGAUUAGCUUGUUGGCGGGGUAACGGCCCACCAAGGCUACGAUCAGUAGGGGUUCUGAGAGGAAGGUCCCCCACAUUGGAACUGAGACACGGUCCAAACUCCUACGGGAGGCAGCAGUGAGGAAUAUUGGUCAAUGGGCGAGAGCCUGAACCAGCCAAGUAGCGUGCAGGAAGACGGCCCUAUGGGUUGUAAACUGCUUUUAUAAGGGAAUAAAGUGAGUCUCGUGAGACUUUUUGCAUGUACCUUAUGAAUAAGGACCGGCCAAUUCCGUGCCAGCCGCCGCAGUAA
rnacentral:rRNA from 1 species